rnacentral:misc_RNA from 1 species
GAUGAAGAACGUAGCGAAAUGCGAUAAGUAAUGUGAAUUGCAGAAUUCAGUGAAUCAUCGAAUCUUUGAACGCACAUUGCGCCCUCUGGUAUUCCGGGGGGCAUGCCUGUUCGAGCGUCAUUAUAACCACUCAAGCUCUCGCUUGGUAUUGGGGCUCGCGGUUCCGCGGCCCCUAAAAUCAGUGGCGGUGCCUGUCGGCUCUACGCGUAGUAAUACUCCUCGCGAUUGAGUCCGGUAGGUCUACUUGCCAGCAACCCCCAAUUUUUACAGGUUGAACUCGGAUCAGGUAGGGAUACCCGCUGAACUUAAGCAUAUCAAUAAGCGGAGGA